UGGCAUGGAGAUCCCCCAGAGGAGUGG
rnacentral:piRNA from 2 species